CGGUAAACAUGGCCGAAUUUUCCGUCAGGAAUACGGGGGACUAAGAAAUUUGGGGUGAAUGCGGACCUGCCGUGGAGGUGAACAGGCCAUCGUCCGUUAGGGUACCCUCAACCCGAACCCGUCAACUAACCCCGGAGGCCCAGGGAGGGAAAAA
rnacentral:sRNA from 2 species